GCCCGCCUUAGCUCAAUCGAAUAGAGCGUCAGACUCUUAUAUCUUGUUAAUCAACUGAGCAAUCUGAAGGCUGCGAGUUCUACCCUCGCGGUGGGCU